GGCAUAGUUUAACGGUAGAACUCCGGACUCUGACUCCGUCAGUGUUGGUUCGAAUCCAGCUGCC
rnacentral:tRNA from 3 species